rnacentral:rRNA from 1 species
GAUGAACGCUGGCGGCGUGCCUAAUACAUGCAAGUCGAGCGAACAGAUGAGGAGCUUGCUCCUCUGACGUUAGCGGCGGACGGGUGAGUAACACGUGGAUAACCUACCUAUAAGACUGGGAUAACUUCGGGAAACCGGAGCUAAUACCGGAUAAUAUAUUGAACCGCAUGGUUCAAUAGUGAAAGACGGUUUUGCUGUCACUUAUAGAUGGAUCCGCGCCGCAUUAGCUAGUUGGUAAGGUAACGGCUUACCAAGGCAACGAUGCGUAGCCGACCUGAGAGGGUGAUCGGCCACACUGGAACUGAGACACGGUCCAGACUCCUACGGGAGGCAGCAGUAGGGAAUCUUCCGCAAUGGGCGAAAGCCUGACGGAGCAACGCCGCGUGAGUGAUGAAGGUCUUCGGAUUGUAAAACUCUGUUAUUGGGGAAGAACAAAUGUGUAAGUAACUAUGCACGUCUUGACGGUACCUAAUCAGAAAGCCCCGGCUAACUACGUG